AGUCUCAUCCAUAGGAUUUAGAGAUUUGGUACCCAUUACAAAUAGAAAUGAGAAAAUAAGAUAAAUUUAAAAUUUUAGAGAGGAAUGAGAUUUUUUCAGAAUACUGGAUUUGAGUAAGCUGAAAAAUGGAGGAAUAAAGGGUGUUUAUUAAAUAGAUGUGUAGAUGAAUCCAACGGUAGGGGAUUGGAGCAAAGAUUACGUUGGUAUUUUUUAUCAUGACGGUGAUCCUUUCCAUGUUCUUCCACAUGCAUGACAUUCAGGUAACUUUUCAUCAUCACCUUCUUCAGCAUAGAGGAAUUACUCAAGUACACCAUGUGGAGCUAAAAAUAAUCAAGAGGCGACACGUGGAUUUUUGGGUAAAAAUGACAAAAUUACCCUCAAGGCACACCGGAAUUCUUACACACGAGCAAUGGACAAUUAUCCCUCAAUCAAGUCAAAAAUGCCCAAAUAGGUAUUUAUUUAUAACCUAUUUCAUCCAUCCCUCGUCAUAUCUUCUCCGCAAGGUAACCCCUAAAUCAUUCAUUUUUUAUUAUAUUAAUUAGCUAAUUAAUUGAUUAAUUAUUCAAUUAAUUUGCUAAUUAAACACAAAUCAUGAACUUCACCCACAAAACCACAAUUGGCUUCGACUCUUUCUUUUUCUCAAACUUACUCCUCUGAUUUUUACCACCAAUACUACUCCUUAGACCUCCAUAACUGAAGGUGCAUCUCCUUCCCUUAACUAGCCAUGUGGCCUUGGCACCGUCAUCUUCUGGUUUUGGACUCCACCAUAGGCAUGUCUUUGCUGCUUCUAUUUUUCAUGAAGUACUUGGGGGCCCCAUGCAAAGUGGUGAAAUGGUAGAGUUUGGAUAAUGAAAAAAGGGGUAUUGAAGCAAAUAGUUGUGGCAGUUUGAUGGAAGUUCAUCAGAAACGUUUGAUCACACUAAACCCUAAUACAUAAUUAAGUCAAAGAUCUAAUUAAGCCUUUACGCGGCGGAACUUUUUCAAGUUCGUCGGGCAAGAUUACACUAGCUUCACGCCAUUUUUCGCCCUUG
rnacentral:lncRNA from 1 species